rnacentral:rRNA from 1 species
AUUGAACGCUGGCGGCAGGCCUAACACAUGCAAGUCGAACGAGUGGCGGACGGGUGAGUAAUGUCUGGGAAACUGCCCGAUGGAGGGGGAUAACUACUGGAAACGGUAGCUAAUACCGCAUACCCUCGGAUGUGCCCAUAUGGGAUUCGCUAGUAGGUGGGGUAACGGCUCACCUAGGCGACGAUCCCUAGCUGGUCUGAGAGGAUGACCAGCCAAACUGGAACUGAGAAACGGUCCAGACUCCUACGGGAGGCAGAAGUGGGGAAGAUUGCACAAUGGGGGAAAGCCUGAUGCAGCCAUGCGGCGGGUAUGAAGAAGGCCUUCGGGUUGUAAAGUACUUUCAGCGGGGAGGCGGUACUCGCAGAAGAAGCACCGGCUAACUCCGUGCCAGCAGCCGCGGUAAUAC